rnacentral:rRNA from 1 species
AACGAACGCUGGCGGCAGGCCUAACACAUGCAAGUCGAGCGCACCUUCGGGUGAGCGGCGGACGGGUUAGUAACGCGUGGGAAUAUGCCCAUCCCUACGGAAUAGCCUCGGGAAACUGAGAGUAAUACCGUAUACGCCCUUCGGGGAAAGAUUAUCGGGGAUGGAUUAGCCCGCGUCUGAUUAGAUAGUUGGUGGGGUAACGGCCUACCAAGUCGACGAUCAGUAGCUGGUUUGAGAGGAUGAUCAGCAACACUGGGACUGAGACACGGCCCAGACUCUACGGAGGCAGCAGUGGGGAAUCUUAGACAAUGGGCGCAAAGCCUGAUCUAGCCAUGCCGCGUGAGUGACG